CAAUCGAACCCGGAGAUAGCUGGUUCUCCUCGAAAUAGCUUUAGGGCUAGCCUCGCAUUAGUUUACCGGAGGUAGAGCACUGAAUGGUCUAGGGGGCCUCACCGCCUACCGAAACCUAUCAAACUGCGAAUGCCGGAUAAAUGAUGUGCGGGAGUCAGGCCGCGAGAGAUAAGUUCCGCGGUCAAAAGGGGAACACCCCAGAUCGUCUGCUAAGGUCCCCAAGUACGCGUUAAGUGGGAAAGGAUGUUGGAUUGCACAGACAACCAGGAUGUUGGCUUAGAAGCAGCCACACAUUCAAAGAGUGCGUAAUAGCUCACUGGUCGAGUGAUCCAGCGCCGAAAAUGUAACGGGGCUAAAACGCGACACCGAAGCAGCGGGAUGCGUAAGCAUCGGUAGAGGAGCAUUGUGUGAGGAUAGAAGCCAGAGCGGGAGCACUGGUGGACUUCACAGAAGAGAGAAUGCCGGUAUGAGUAGCGAGACCCAUGCGAGAAACAUGGGCGUCGAAGGCCCAAGGUUUCCUGGGGAAGGUUCAUCCACCCAGGGUAAGUCGGGACCUAAGCCGAGGACUGAGGUCGUAGGCGAUGGACAGCAGGUAGAGAUUCCUGCACCACUUACACUUGUUUGACGAAGCAGUGACACAGAAGGAUAGGACGAGCGCGGUGAUGGUCAACCGCGUAGGCGGCACGAGGCUGAGAAGCAGUAAAGUACACUUCUCAUGAAGGCUGAGUGCUGACAGGACCGAAAAAGAGUAGGGAAGCGUCUGAGUUCACGCUGGCGAGAAAAGCUGCUAAGGAGAGUGUGAGUGCCCGUACCGGAAACCGACGCAGGUGGGCGAGGAGAGAAUCCUGAGACGGACGGGAGAACUCUUGUUAAGGAACUCGGCAAAAUGACCCCGUAACUUCGGGAGAAGGGGUGCCUCGAAAGAGGCCGCAGAGAAUAGUCACAAGCGACUGUUUAGCAAAAACACAGGUAUCUGCGAAAGCGAGAGCUGACGUAUAGGUGCUGACGCCUGCCCGGUGCUGGAAGGUUAAGGGGAAGUGUUAGGGGGAACCCGAAGCAGAGAACCGAAGCCCCAGUAAACGGCGGCCGUAACUAUAACGGUCCUAAGGUAGCGAAAUUCCUUGUCGGGUAAGUUCCGACCCGCACGAAUGGCGUAACGACUUGUGAGCUGUCUCAACAGGAGGCCCGGUGAAAUUGAAGUAUGUGUGAAGAUGCACAUUACCCGCGACUGGACGGAAAGACCCCGUAGAGCUUUACUGUAACCUGACAUUGGAUCUUGAUAACGGAUGCACAGGAUAGGUGGGACGCUGGGAGGUAUGGACUUUGGUCUGUACGGAGCGGACGUUGGGAUACCACUCUUCUGUUAUUGAGAUUCUAACCUCAAGCCGUAAGCCGGAUGAGAGACAGUGUCAGGCGGACAGUUUGACUGGGGCGGUCGCCUCCGAAAGAGUAACGGAGGCGCCCAAAGGUACCCUCAGAAUGGAUGGAAACCAUUCGAAGAGAGCAAAGUCAGAAGGGUGCUUGACUGCGAGACCAACAAGUCGAGCAGGUACGAAAGUAGGGCUUAGUGAUCCGGCGGUAAGAGAGUGGAAUUGCCGUCGCUCAACGGAUAAAAGCUACCUCGGGGAUAACAGGCUGAUCUCCCCCAAGAGUUCACAUCGACGGGGAGGUUUGGCACCUCGAUGUCGGCUCGUCGCAUCCUGGGGCUGAAGCAGGUCCCAAGGGUUUGGCUGUUCGCCAAUUAAAGCGGCACGCGAGCUGGGUUCAGAACGUCGUGAGACAGUUCGGUCCCUAUCCAUCGUGGGCGAAGGACACAUGAGAGGAGCUGCUCCUAGUACGAGAGGACCGGAGUGGACGCAUCACUGGUGCAACUGUUGUCGUGCCAACGGCACAGCAGGGAAGCGAAAUGCGGAUGGGAUAAACGCUGAAGGCAUCUAAGCGUGAAGCCCACCUCAAGAAUAAGACUCCACAAUAGACCCCUGGAGGACUACCAGGUAGAUAGGUCAUCGGUGGAAGCGCUGUAAGGCGUGUAGCUUGAUGAUACUAAUCGGUCGAAAGCUUCAUUUA
rnacentral:rRNA from 1 species